rnacentral:miRNA from 1 species
AGGGCAGCUCACAGCACGGGG